CUUGCCCUGGCGGCCCCAGCAGCCCUUGUAGUGACCGUGGCGUAUGCAUGGACGGCAUGAGUGGCAGUGGGCAGUGUCUGUGCCGUUCAGGUUUUGCUGGGACAGCCUGUGAACUCUGUGCUCCUGGUGCCUUUGGGCCCCAUUGUCAAGCCUGCCACUGCACUGUGCAUGGCCGCUGUGAUGAGGGCCUUGGGGGCUCUGGCUCCUGCUUCUGUGAUGAAGGCUGGACUGGGCCACGCUGUGAGGUGCAACUGGGUGAGUAGCCCCGUGCUCGUGCCCACCCUAUACACUUGUGUACAUGUGCACACAUCAGUAAAGGCACCAAGGGUGGGCGGAACGGGCAGAGGCCAGGAAGGCAACUACUAACCUGGUUCUGGGGGCUGGGCCCUGGGGGACAGAGCUGCAGCCUGUGUGUACCCCACCCUGUGCACCUGAGGCUGUGUGCCGUGCAGGCAACAGCUGCGAGUGUGGCCUGGGCUAUGAAGGGGAUGGCCGCAUGUGUACAGUGGCAGACCUGUGCCAGGACGGGCAUGGCGGCUGCAGUGAGCAUGCCAACUGUAGCCAGGUAGGAACAGUGGUCACUUGUACCUGCCUGCCCGACUACGAGGGUGAUGGCUGGAGCUGCCGGGCCCGCAACCCCUGCACAGAUGGCCACCGCGGGGGCUGCAGCGAGCAUGCCGACUGCUUGAGCACCGGCCUGAACACACGGCGCUGUGAGUGCCAUGCAGGCUACGUAGGCGAUGGACUGCAGUGUCUGGAGGAGUCGGAACCACCUGUGGACCGCUGCCUGGGCCAGCCACCGCCCUGCCACUCAGAUGCCGUGUGCACUGACCUGCACUUCCAGGGUGUGUCCCCCUGCCCACUCCCAGUAUCCAUUUCAUUCCUCAGAGCCGGCCAGCUGACCGUGCACCCCUCCAUUCUGCAGAGAAACGGGCUGGCGUCUUCCACCUCCAGGCCACCAGCGGCCCUUAUGGUCUGAACUUUUCGGAGGCUGAGGUGGCAUGCGAAGCACAGGGAGCCGUCCUUGCUUCAUUCCCUCAGCUCUCUGCUGCCCAGCAGGUGUGUGGGGCCCAGAAGUGUUGGGGGAGGCCUUGACUGAGUCUUGGGUCUCAGUAUCCCCUCCUGUUCCUACAGCUGGGCUUCCACCUGUGCCUCAUGGGCUGGCUGGCCAAUGGCUCCACUGCCCACCCUGUGGUUUUCCCUGCGGCGGACUGUGGCAAUGGUCGGGUGGGCAUAGUCAGCCUGGGUGCCCGCAAGAACCUCUCGGAGCGCUGGGAUGCCUACUGCUUCCGUGUGCAAGAUGUGGCCUGCCGUUGCCGAGAUGGCUUCGUGGGUGACGGGAUCAGCAUGUGCAAUGGGAAGCUGCUGGAUGUGCUGGCUGCCACUGCCAACUUCUCCACCUUCUAUGGGAUGCUACUGGGCUAUGCCAAUGCCACCCAGCGGGGUCUCGACUUCCUGGACUUCCUGAAUGAUGAGCUCACAUAUAAGACACUCUUUGUCCCUGUCAAUGAAGGCUUUGUGGACAACAUGACGCUGAGUGGCCCAGACUUGGAGCUGCACGCCUCCAACGCCACCCUCCUAAGUGCCAACGCCAGCCAGGGGAAGUUGCUUCCGGCCCACUCAGGCCUCAGCCUCAUCAUCAGUGACGCAGGCCCUGACAACAGUUCCUGGGCCCCUGUGGUGAGUCUGGCCACUGUCCCACCCCGUUGGCCCUGGCCCUGGCCCUUGCUCACCGUGGGCCUGACUCUGGUCUCCCUGCAGGCCCCAGGGACAGUUGUGGUUAGCCAUAUCAUCGUGUGGGACAUCAUGGCCUUCAAUGGCAUCAUCCAUGCUCUGGCCAGCCCCCUCCUGGCACCCCCACAGCCCCAGGCAGUGCUGGCGCCUGAAGCCCCACCUGUGGCGGCAGGCGUGGGGGCUGUGCUUGCCGCUGGAGCACUGCUUGGCUUGGUGGCCGGAGCUCUCUACCUCCGUGCCCGAGGCAAGCCCACGGGCUUUGGCUUCUCUGCCUUCCAGGCGGAAGAUGAUGCUGAGGACGACUUCUCACCGUGGCAAGAAGGGACCAACCCCACCCUGGUCUCUGUCCCCAACCCUGUCUUUGGCAGCGACGCCUUUUGUGAACCCUUCGAUGUGAGCAUGGAAGUGUGGCAGAUGUGGGAUGGGCCCAGGCCCUGGUCACACCCUCCACCAACAACCCUGCUCUUCUAGGACUCACUCCUGGAGGAGGAUUUCCCUGACACCCAGAGGAUCCUCACAGUCAAGUGAUGAGGCUGGGGCUGAAAGCAGAGGCAUGUGCAGGGAGGAGACCACUUUUAUUGCUUGUCUGGGUGGAUGGGGCGGGAGGGGCUGGGGGCCUGUCCCAGACAAUAAAGGUGCCCUCAGCGGAUGUGGGCCAUGUCGCC
rnacentral:sRNA from 1 species